UAAUACGUAGGGACCAAGCGUUAUCCGGAAUUAUUGGGCGUAAAGGGUUCGUAGGCGGCCCAUCAAGUCCGAGUUGAAAGCCCAUGGCUCAACCAUGGAGGGUGCUCGGAAACUGAUAGGGCUUGAAUUCAGAAGAGGCAAGUGGAAUUCUAUGUGGAGCGGUGGAAUGCGUAGAUAUAUGGAGGAACACCAGUGGCGAAGGCGGCUUGCUGGGUUGAUAUUGACGCUGAUGAACGAAAGCGUGGGGAGCAAACAGGAUUAGAUACCCUGGUAGUCCACGCCGUAAACGAUGAGUACUAAGUGUUGGGGAAACUCAGUGCUGCAGUUAACGCAAUAAGUACUCCGCCUGGGGAUUACGAUCGCAAGAUUG
rnacentral:rRNA from 1 species